UGGGGAGUAGCCAAGUGGUAAGGCACCGGAUUUUGAUUCCGGCAUUCGUAGGUUCGAUCCCUACCUCCCCAG
rnacentral:tRNA from 2 species